AUGUCUGUUUUGUGUUGCUCUAGGAAACGUGACGUAUUGCACGCCGACUCAGCUGACUCAGUGUGUGAAAACAGUUGUAGGGAAGCUGUCUAACGGGCAGUACCCGUGCUUCUGCCCGACACCCUGCGUCGCCAACACGUUCCCGACGUUCGUGUCGUACGCGGCCUGGCCCAGCUUUAGUGCACAAGACUACUACAUCGAUAGGUACAACCACACCGCGGAUUACCUGCAGCGUAAUUUUGUGGUAAUGGAUCUGUACUAUUCCCAGCUGAACUACCAGGAGGUGAUCCAACAGCGCCAGUACACAGUCGGGUCCUUCCUAGGUA